rnacentral:lncRNA from 1 species
GUCUGAUGGCCGACUCAUAUGAAGCUCGCCGACCAAUGGAGGGGCCCGACACCACUCAGCUGGCUACCGACUUUGGGUCGGUCGGCUCCUCCAACCACCGUACAGCCGCCAGACGUUGUCAGCUCUGACACGGACAUGCGGCGCAGUUACCUAGGGGCAUUGUCCCGCCGAGAGCGGGGUCAACCCUGGUGAUUGGACGGCCACACGGCGACAUGACGUUUUCACGGCGACUCUGACAGUCCACAGUGAGUUGACAGGUCCUCACUUGUCCGCGCCAUUAAUGACGGCGCCAUACUGUGCUCCACUAUAUAAACCGGGGAAGGCAACAGUG